GACACUUAUAUAGGUAUGGGAGCCCGAUACUGAACAUCAAGUGGCAUAAAACGCUUAACACUGAACGAACAAAGUUAAUAACUGCUGACAGCCACAUUGUUAGGAUUUGGGACCCUGAGACGGGAGAAGGCAUGACAAGCAUUGAACCAACGGGUGGGAGAAUCAACGAUUUGUGUGCAUUCACUGACAGUGGAUUGAUGUUAUUGGCUCUUGACUCCAGUCAAAUACCUUCGUAUUUCAUUCCUUCACUGGGGCCUGCGCCCAAGUGGUGUUCAUACCUUGAAAACCUGACGGAAGAGCUUGAGGAGCAACCCCAGACAACUAUUUAUGAUGAUUUUAAAUUUUUGACGAAAGAAGAUCUGGAAAAAUUGAAUUUGACCCAUUUGAUUGGAACCAGCCUUCUAAGGGCUUAUAUGCAUGGUUACUUCAUCGAUUAUCGUUUGUAUAAAAAGGCACAAGCCUUUUCAGAUCCAUUUGAUUAUGUUGCUUACAAAGAGCGGCGGAACCAGGAAAAACAAGCGGCAGAGCGUGCCGGUCGUAUCACGAUUAAGAAGAAGCUCCCCAAAAUUAAUCGCACUCUGGCUAAAGAACUUCUUGAGAAUGAAGAGGCUGAGAAUAUGGAGGAUGUUGAUGGCGUUGAUGCGAAGAAGAUAUCAAAGAAGAAGAAAGGACUGACCACUGACAUUCUGAAAGAUGAACGUUUUGGUGGGAUGUUUACUAAUAAGGACUUUGAAAUUGAUGAAUUUUCUCAUGAGUAUCGGGCACUGCACCCUAUGCCUUCCACAAAGCAACCGUCUUUAGUGGAGGAACAUUUUGAGCCUGUGAUGGAUGGUGAGGAACCUAGUGAUUCUGAUGUGUCUCCCGCAACACAAUCAUCAGAAGAUGAACAAGAAAAUGAAAAAAAUUCUAGAAAAAAGUCCAAAGUUCCAAGAAUGUAUGAAGUCAAGGAUGAGAGGCAUGCAGAAGCAUUCUGGAACGAUGUUUCACUUGCGAAGGAGGAUGCUCUUCCACUAGGUGAACGGGUUGCAGCCUUGUCAGAUGACCGAACUUCUCAUGGUAUGAACAAUAUCAAGGUGGGACCCGGAGGUUCAAGAGAAGUUUCCUUUAUUUCCAGAAGCUCAGCAAAGUAUGUGGAAGAUGAAGAAGACAAGGGAGCACGAACUGAAAGGAGAAGAGGGAUCCAGUCCUUGAAACUGAAGCCUGAGAGAUCAGGUUUUCGGGGUUCGGGUUCCCGAGGCCGAGGGAGAGGAAGAGGUCGUGGAAUGGGCAGAGGAAGAGGGCGGCGAUAAAUUUUUCAUACAGUAUUAACAACCAACUUUUGUGUCAAAAGGCUAUCAGGAGCAUCAUUAUUUAUUAUUUGCAAAUUGCAAUACAUCCAAAGUGCUCUUUCUCCAGAAGAAAUAGUCAAAGUACUUAAUCUGGAGGCCAUUGACAAAAAGUUUACACUGGAGGAUUAUGGGUUGUAGCGCAUACACCGGACUAGGGCUACUUGAUGGUUUGAUUGGCUGGUACAAGACAUUGCAUCUCGGAUCUAUAUGUUUUGAUUAUGUGAUGCUUGCAUCAAAAUUUUGUUUAUACAUAUAAGAUAGAAUAUCCUGUAGGAAAAUGUAGUAAUGCUUUUGCUUAUCCGUGCAUUGUUCUACGUGUGGGGAAAAUUCUUGUAAGUCUCAAUGUUUAAGUUGGAGUUGAGGCCUCUUGUCUACUUAUAGAUGCAUGUUGCCUUUUGAUGCCAAGGCAUUUCUGAACUAGGAAAGAGUUCAAAGUUUUAUACUUGUGACAUAUUGAAUUUGUCCUCAGGCCGAGUUUCAUGUAACGCAUUUGAGUUCCCUCUCCCAAUCGAAUGCAAUAUUUA